GACGAACGCUGGCGGCGUGCCUAACACAUGCAAGUCGAGCGAGAAGCCUAUAACAGAUUCCUUCGGGAUGACGAUUUAGGUUUUCUAGCGGCGGAUGGGUGAGUAACGCGUGAGAAACUUGCCUUUCACAAGGGAACAGCCUCGGGAAACCGGGAUUAAUGCCCUAUGAUACUUAAAUACCACAUGGUAUUUUUGUUAAAGCGUAAAGCGGUGAAAGAUGGUCUCGCGUCCCAUUAGCUAGUUGGUGAGAUAAAAGCUCACCAAGGCAACGAUGGGUAACCGGCCUGAGAGGGUGAACGGUCACACUGGAACUGAGACACGGUCCAGACUCCUACGGGAGGCAGCAGUGGGGAAUCUUGCACAAUGGAGGAAACUCUGAUGCAGCGACGCCGCGUGAAUGAUGAAUGUCUUCGGAAUAGUAAAAGUUCUGUCCUUGGGGAAGAUAAUGACGGUACCCAAGGAGGAAGCCCGGCUAACUACGUGCCAGCCGCCGCGGUAA
rnacentral:rRNA from 1 species